rnacentral:lncRNA from 1 species
UGUUAACCAAGUUGUGAUUUCAUUCUAAAAUACAAACUUGAGGGUAUUUUCAAAAAAAUUGUGAUUUCAUUUUAUUCCAUUCUUAAUCAUAGCAAGGUUCUUAUUUAUUUUUCUCUUGCCUUCACUCUUUUAUCUUUUGAUUCACUUUCUUUAAACAUAGAUAAUGACCUAUGUUGUGGUGAAGUCUUCUAAGCUUGAUUUGGAGGAGCCCGUUUAAUAUAUCCAUAAGAUUUGGAUCCUUUCUUCUAAGAACGUCCAAAAUCUCGAGAAAGGUUUCUUUUUAUUAUUAUUAUUAUUGUUACUUUUACUACAUUAUUACUAAUUAAUCUUAAUUAAACCAAAUGAAUUUGUUUUGAUGUUAUUAUUACACCAUGCGUUGCUUAUUAUUUCAGGUAGAAAAGGUAGUCAAGGUAAGUGUUUAACCCCUUGGGGUUUCCUAUAUGGAUGAAUAUUUUUAUAUAUGGAAUGGUUCAAAUGACAAUGGGAAAUUUUAGAUUUUAUUAGUUUUGUGUUCCUUCUACUCUAUAUGUCUCAAAAUUGUAUUUUAUUCUUCGUGUGUAUUGUUACCAAACAUUUUAGAGAUCCAACAUAUUUUUACCUACCUACGUUUUUUCAAGCUCUUUUAAUUUUACUCUCAAUUUUUUAUAAUUGUAUAUAUUUUUUAAACAACUUGUGUCAUUGAUUUUUCAUUGACAAUAUUGCAUUAAAGUGUACCUUUCAUUGAUUUUUUUGUUUAUUUUAUAGAUAUGUUCUUAUUGUUGGAUAAUUGGAGAAAUAAGUUGUCUCUAAUGACAAGUGAGUCAAGAUCAAUAUGAUUCUAGACUAUGAAGCCAUUUAUCAUUUAUGCUAUCUGUCCAUGAAUAUUUUAUCUUCCAUGUUAUAAAUUCCUCAAACUUUUCUUAUUUUCUUAUUUGUCACCCUGAUUUCAGCAUAAAAAUGUUUUCUUUGCUGAUUUCAGGACAAAGAUGUUUACUCUGUAGCUUUUUUAUAGGUUAAAUUGAUGAGUUUUCCUUGGUGCAACAGCGAAUAUGAGGACUACACUCCAUUGGCUCAAAAUACCACAUUUAGGAUGACAUUUCUUAUUUCACUCUUUCACUUUAUUCUCACACCAACCUUCUUAUUCACCAACUCUCCUCACAAAACUCACACCAAGUAAUAACUUAUGAUAUUCUCUGAACAUGUUUGAGUAUACAAAAUGAAAAUUUCUUUUAUUUUUUCUACAAGGCCAUCUAAAAAUGAAUGAAAUGCUCUAGACUUUAGUCCUCGAAGGUCACUUUUGGAUGAAAUUGCUGCAAAGCCAGUACCAUUUGAGAACUCGAUCAACUCUCCACUUCUAUUUCCAUUAGUUGCAGAAACAACAUGAAGAAAAGGCCCUCUUGAUGGCUUCAAUAAGUACAAUCAUGGGUGGAAUAUUAGUGCCUUUAUCCGAUUAAUGCCUUUAAAUCAUUAGAACUAUGUGAUAUUGUCAAGAUUAAUGCCUUUAUUCGGUUACCAAUUUCAAUAGAUAUGUGAUAUUAUGGUUUUCUAAGCUCCAAUGAAUUUGUAAAUUGACAAUUCAAUUGGUGUUAGCUGCUUUGCCAUUGUACAUUAGUCUUUAAGAACUUUACUUCAGUUUGUGCUAUUAGGCCCGCCUCUAGGCGCAAAUACAAAUAUUUUACCUUCCAUUACCUCUUCUCCUUAUUUGGUUCUUGCAUGGAGUUCUGAAAUGUGAACGCAGACAAUAAAAU